CACGGGGGGAGCAAGCGUUGUUCGGAAUCACUGGGCGUAAAGGGCGUGUAGGCGGUCAGGUUAGUGAGAUGUGAAACGCCCCGGCUCACCCGGGGACCUGCAUCUCAAACUGCCUGGCUUGAGUAUGGGAGAGGAUGAGGGAAUCCUGGUGUAGCGGUGAAAUGCGUAGAUAUCCGGAGGAACACCGGUGGCGAAAGCGCUCAUCUGGCCCAAUACUGACGCUGAGGCGCGAAAGCUAGGGGAGCAAACGGGG
rnacentral:rRNA from 1 species